AUGGCCUGGAAGUGUCUAUCUCCCUCUCCGCUUCCUGCCUGCCAGGUCCCUGGGCCAUACCGCCCUCCCUCAGAGUUAGCGACUUCGGAGCAAAAACUACAAACUGUGAGCUACAAUGGACCGUCCCUCCUUAGAUUUGUGGGUGUCAGAAACUGUGUCUCAGCGAUGAGAAAGAAAACAGAUGAACAUCCCACUUUCAAAAUUCUCCUGAGCAACAUUCUACAUGUUAUGGAUGAAGAAUCCUGAGCUGGCCCAUAACCUUCUUAGUUUUCUACUCCUCUCCUCUACAAGCCCCAAUUUCACUUUCUCUGAAGAAACCCCAGGCUUACAGGUUUUGGAGUUUCUGCUUCCCCUAAAUACAUGAACGUCCCUCUAUAUCCAGGAAUGUCUCAUUUCUUUGAUUCCCUGGGAUAGUGUUUCUGAGCAAAAGCAAAGGAAUUUCUGUGCCUGGUAUCUCCCCCACCCCCGCCAAGAGAGGAAAUUUCCCAAGGCUAUUAAAACAGACUGAAUUUGGGAGGGAAGCCUUUUUAGGGAGGGAGGGGUGUAAAUAACCUCAUAAGGGAUAUUACUGCUCUUUUGGUAGGCAUUAGAGUUUGGACAGCGAGACAGGAUUUGUUAAGAUUAAAACUGUCACUGGGCAUAGUGACGCAUGGCUGUAAUCCCAGCACUUGGGAGCCUGAGGCACAAGUAUCAUGGUGAGUUCGAGGCCAGCCUGGACUACAUAGCAAGACUCUGCCUCAAAAAACAAAACAAAACACAAACGAAUAAAACUGUCAUUAAAAUAAACGGGGACUAUUUUGAUAAAAUAAAAUCCUGAAAAGAGUAAAAAGUCUCAUAUCUCAAUCAUGCAGUCUACCUGAAGCGCCCUACCUGAAGUUGCAGAACACUUGUGUGGCACUGGUUUCACACCAGCCAUCUUAGUCCACUCUGUAUUGCUGUAACAGAAGAC
rnacentral:lncRNA from 1 species